UGCCUUGUUAAUGUGGCUACAUUGAGAACACAGGUUUUGCUUCCAUCACUGUAAUUUCAUUGCGGUGGUGACAAUGAGACCUGCAACAUUU